AACUUGCUCUCACAUUACCGUCAUGGUGGGCAGAGGCUUUAGUCGUGUUUGGUCUGCAUUCUAGCGGUGUUUUUGCGAUGAAACGAGCGAAGCACUUCUGAAGUGUGUGGCUCGACCAAAACAUUAGCCUCUUCUUGAAAAUAGCACUCAACAGCACUGGAGGUGAUUGCUUUGUUUUUAAUUGCGGGUUCUUUGGCAAUUAGCCGAAUUGCUGGGUCCAAGACUUAAUGAUGUCUCUUCGCCACCCCACACUUCCUUUGUAGUUUCCAAUUGAAGAACAAUGUUUGUUCUCCUCCAUAACCUAAGUUUACACGUCCCUCUUGGUAGUCUCUAGCUUCCCCCGCUAGUUUCGAUGAUCCGGGGACCUGACCACACGCGUCAUCUGGUCAUGCCUUUUUUCCUCAGUAUUUUUAUUUGCUUGGAUACCUGUGUCUAACUGUGUAAAUUGCAUUCUAAUCAAGGUUUUUAAAAUUGUCUUAUUUUGAAAAAAAGUCUACAGAAAAUUAUCAUGAUC